CGCUGGCGGCGUGCCUAAUACAUGCAAGUAGAACGCUGAAGAGAGGAGCUUGCUCUCUUGGAUGAGUGCGAACGGGUGAGUAACGCGUAGGUAACCUGCCUGGUAGCGGGGGAUAACUAUUGGAAACGAUAGCUAAUACCGCAUGAUAUUAAUUGUCGCAUGAUAAUUAAUUGAAAGAUGCAAUUGCAUCACUACCAGAUGGACCUGCGUUGUAUUAGCUAGUUGGUGAGGUAACGGCUCACCAAGGCGACGAUACAUAGCCGACCUGAGAGGGUGAUCGGCCACACUGGGACUGAGACACGGCCCAGACUCCUACGGGAGGCAGCAGUAGGGAAUCUUCGGCAAUGGGGGGAACCCUGACCGAGCAACGCCGCGUGAGUGAAAGAAGGUUUUCGGAUCGUAAAGCUCUGUUGUAAGAGAAGAACGGGUGCGAGAGUGGAAAGUUCACACUGUGACGGUAUCUUACCAGAAAGGGACGGCUAACUACGUGCCAGCAGCCGC
rnacentral:rRNA from 1 species